AAAGAUGAUCAGGUUGAUAGGUCUGAGGUGGAAGUGUGGCGACACAUGGAGCUGACAGAUACUAAUCGAUCGAGGACUUAACCACA
rnacentral:rRNA from 1 species